AACGUAGGAGGCGAGCGUUAUCCGGAUUCACUGGGCGUAAAGCGCGUGCAGGCGGUUCGGUAAGUUGGGUAUGAAAUCUCCUGGCUUAACUAGGAGAGGUUAUCCAAUACUACCGGACUUGAGAGUGAUAGAGGAAGAUGGAAUUCCCGGUGUAGUGGUGAAAUGCGUAGAUAUCGGGAGGAACACCAGUGGCGAAAGCGAUCUUCUGGAUCAUUUCUGACGCUCAGACGCGAAAGCUAGGGUAGUAAACGGGAUUAGAGACCCCGGUAAUCCUAGCCGUAAACGAUGUAAACUUGGCGUCGGUGGCUUAAACACCAUCGGUGCCGCAGCUAACGCGAUAAGUUUACCGCCUGGGGACUACGAUCGCAAGAUUAAAACUCA
rnacentral:rRNA from 1 species